rnacentral:rRNA from 1 species
CCCUUAGAUGUUCUGGGCCGCACGCGUGCUACGCUGAGUGGAUCAGCGGGUCAGGUUGCGCGAAAGCGUUUCCUAAUCUUUAAAUCCGCUCGUGAUGGGGAUUGACGGUUGCAAUUUUCUGUCAUGAACGAGGAAUACCUUGUAAGCGCGGGUCAUCAUCCCGCGCUGAAUACGUCCCUGCCCUUUGUACACACCGCCCGUCGCUCCUACCGAUUGAGUGGUCCGGUGAGGCUUUGGGAUCUGAGCGGAAAGAGCGUUUCGCUGUUUCUGCUCGGAAAACUCAGUCGAACCUUAUCAUUUAGAGGAAGGAGAAGUCGCAACA